UACGGAGGGGGUUAGCGUUGUUCGGAAUUACUGGGCGUAAAGCGCGCGUAGGCGGACUAUUAAGUCAGAGGUGAAAUUCCCGGGGCUCAACCCCGGAACUGCCUUUGAUACUGGUAGUCUUGAGUUCGAGAGAGGUAAGUGGAAUUCCGAGUGUAGUAGGUGAAAUUCGUAAGAUAUUCGGAGGAACACCAGUGGCGAAGGCGGACUUACUGGCUCGAUACUGACGCUGAGGUGCGAAAGUGUGGGGAGCAAAACAGGUAGAUACCCGUAGUCC
rnacentral:rRNA from 1 species